rnacentral:lncRNA from 1 species
UGACAUCUCGGAUCUCAGGACAAUUCUUCUGGAAUGCAGCACUCUGGGAAUGUUCCCGAGAUGGAUUGAAGAAUGACAAGAGGCCUGGAUUGCACAUCACAAGUGUCAGAAGGAUCUGACCAGCAUCCAGCCCUACCACGAUAGGUGCUGCUCGGUGGAAAAGCACGAGCCAUGGAUAACCUGUACACGUGCCUCAAGAGAGAGAUAGCCUCCUUCCAGGACCAUGUCCAGCAAUGCAAACACUCCUUCAACAUGGACGCUCUUCACCCAGUCUUGAGUGCCCUAACCACAAAAGAGCAGGAUGAAAUCCACACCUUGGAGCAGCUGCGGGAUCUCCUCUCCAAGGUUCAAGAGGAGCCUGCGGUGGAGGUCAGUGGCUACGGCGACUCGGAAAUAAAGCGUUGCAUCACCUGGCUUCUCUCUUUCGUGGAAUAUCUCAGCGCCAUGAAAGAGACCUUUGACGAGAAAGUGGUAGUCCCUCUCUGCGAGAACCUGUACGUAACUGAGGAAGACGAGAGCACAGUCGCUUCUUCUGAUCAGACUGUCCCUUUCACCUCUGACCCUCAAAGCCCGCCCCAUACAUCUGUGACUAAGGUGGCCAAUGAGCUCCUUGUUCUCCGACGCAGAUGGGCUUUGAUGCUUGCCCCUGGUCCAAUCAAGGCAGAGAACUUCAGUCUACUGACCAAUACUGAUGGGGCUGAGCGGUUCACUGAGCGGUUCGCCAAGAUCCAAUGGCUUGUACCAGAUAUCCUCUAUAAGAGCUCUAGGGCUGCUCAACUUGCCUAUCAGUGGGUGAACCUGCACCAGUGUGGGCACAGGGGUAGAAGAGUAGGGGCCAGUGUGUUGGAGGUUACCGAGACAGCCCCGAUGAGGUCUACUGGCCGGGAAGCGAGUGAUGAAUAUAUCCUGGUUGAGGUAGAAAGGAGAAGGGAGGGAAUGGCCGGACAGGCCCAAGCCAGACUGAUGGAGUCUAGGAUGGAGCUCAUGGCUUUGGCCGGGAAAGAGCAUAGGGUGCUAUCUCUGGAGGUGAGGUUAGAGAAGGUCACCUACUGGAUCCAGGACCUCCAGGCCAAACUCCGACAGGAGAGGUUGAUGGUAGAAAGUGGGGCCCAGCAGGAGGCCAGCGAUGUGGGGGAAAGGACGACAGAGGAGCUGGUCCUCAACCCAAGUCUAGAGCUGGAGAGGAGGCUGAGGAUGGAAAGGUACCAUCAAAAGAUACUUCUGGGAGACCUGCUGAUGCAGCUUAAGAUUCGCCCAGUUCUCAUACGCUACACUGAUAUGGUGAGGGAUCGAUGCAAACAGCAGGAGGAGACACUACGGGCCAUGGAGGGCAGUAUGGGUACCAGGUUCCCUUCAAAGCCUGAGAGCCUCAACCUCUCCAAACAGUGA